rnacentral:rRNA from 1 species
GACGGAAGGUGCAAGCGUUGCUCGGAAUCACUGGGCGUAAAGGGUGCGUAGGCGGCCGUGUAAGUCUGGCGUGAAAGCCCCGGGCUCAGCCCGGGAAGUGCGCUCGAAACUGCGCGGCUCGAGUGCCGGAGGGGAGAGUGGAAGUUCCUGGUGUAGCGGUGAAAUGCGUAGAUAUCAGGAGGAAUACCGGUGGCGAAAAGCGACUCUCUGG